GUACACGCUGUGACUAGCAUAUCAAUAAGCGGAGGAAAAGAAACUAACAAGGAUUCCCCUAGUAACGGCGAGUGAAGCGGGAAGAGCUCAAAUUUGAAAUCUUAAAGGGUUUCCCUUUACGAAUUGUAGUUUAAAGAAGUGUUUUCUGUUGAGGUUUUGGUAAAAGUUCUUUGGAAUAGGACAUCAUAGAGGGUGAGAAUCCCGUAUUUGACCUUUACUUUCAACUUUGUGAUAUACUUUCAAAGAGUCGGAUUGUUUGGGAAUGCAGUCCAAAAUGGGUGGUAAAUUUCAUCUAAAGCUAAAUAUUGGCGAGAGACCGAUAGCGAACAAGUACCGUGAGGGAAAGAUGAAAAGAACUCUGAAAAGAGAGUUAAACAGUACGUGAAAUUGUCAAAAGGGAAGCGUUUGACACCAGUGUUGUUUUUCUGAAAAUCAAUUAAAGAACUGUUUAUGCUAUGUUGUUUAGACUUUAUCAGCUAACUGUUUAGUUUUGAGCUUUUCUUUAAUGCACUUUUCAGUUAACAAGUCAACAUCAAUUUCUUUUGCUGUAAAAAAGCUUGAGGAAGGUGGCUUGAGAUUCGUCUUAAGUGUUUAUAGCCUCUUGCCUAUGCAGUCGGAGAGAUUGAGGUCUGCAGCGUAGAUCCUUCGGGGCUAAAUGCAUUUGUGCUAAGUUAUAGCAUUUUAUAGACAACUUGUUGACUAUGAUUUGUCUUGUAGCUUACUCGCUUAUGUUAUUUUACCUACGCUUAGGAUGUUGACAGCAGUAUAGACUGU
rnacentral:rRNA from 1 species